rnacentral:lncRNA from 1 species
CCAACUCUCUCUCCUGGUUCCAUGUUCACUCUGCUACUUUCUAAUUAUUACUCCAGGUUGGAGGGAUGGAUGAUGGACAACAACUUUUCUCAUCACUGGAAGGACUCCAUUGAAUCAGAAGAUAGAAAGGCCUGACAUGGUAGAAAAAAAUUAUCCGGGAAAAUAUUGGAGUGAGUAGAAAACCAGUCAAACUCCUAAUUGCAAAUUCUCUUAAAAUUAAUUGAAAAAUGUUACUAAAGAAUUUUCAGCAGUACAGCAAAGACCAGUCACUGAAGUAACUUAAGGGAGAAUGCACUAAACUGAAAAAAAAUCAAUGUGGGUUUUCUAAAAAAG